AUCUGAUGGUGCGGACAACUGGCACACAGCUGUUUGAACCGCUCCCAGUAUUCGUAGAGAAUUUCUCCAUUGACCUGCCUAACUCCACAUAUCUCCUUUCUGAUGUU